rnacentral:rRNA from 1 species
CCUUAGACGUUCUGGGCCGCACGCGCGCUACACUGACCAGUGCAACAAGCAUCCGUCCUUGGCCGACAGGCCCGGGCAAUCUUUGAACGCUGGUCGUGAUGGGGAUAGACUUUUGCAAUUUUUGGUCUUCAACGAGGAAUUCCUAGUAAACGCAAGUCAUCAACUUGCAUUGAUUACGUCCCUGCCCUUUGUACACACCGCCCGUCGCACCUACCGAUUGAAUGGUCCGGUGAAGCCUCCGGAUUGGCGCGCACCUCGGUGCCGCCGAGAAGUUGGCUAAACCUUACCAUUUAGAGGAAGGUGAAGUCGUAACA